CAGUAGCCGCGGUAAUACGUAGGUGGCAAGCGUUGUCCGGAAUUAUUGGGCGUAAAGCGCGCGCAGGUGGUUUAAUAAGUCUGAUGUGAAAGCCCACAGCUCAACCGUGGAGGGUCAUUGGAAACUGUUAAACUUGAGUGCAGGAGAGAAAAGUGGAAUUCCUAGUGUAGCGGUGAAAUGCGUAGAGAUUAGGAGGAACACCAGUGGCGAAGGCGGCUUUUUGGCCUGUAACUGACACUGAGGCGCGAAAGCGUGGGGAGCAAACAGGAUUAGAUACCCCAGUAGUCCCUGUCUCUUAUAC
rnacentral:rRNA from 1 species